ACCACUCUGGUCGUGCUGGAUGUCUAACCUGGGUCCGUGAUCCGGAUCAGGGACAGUGUCUGAUGGGUAGUUUAACUGGGGCGGUUGCCUCCUAAAGAGUAACGGAGGCGCCCAAAGGUUCCCUCAGCCUGGUUGGCAAUCAGGUGUUGAGUGUAAGUGCACAAGGGAGCUUGACUGUGAGACCGACGGGUCGAGCAGGGACGAAAGUCGGGACUAGUGAUCCGGCAGUGGCUUGUGGAAGCGCUGUCGCUCAACGGAUAAAAGGUACCCCGGGGAUAACAGGCUGAUCUUCCCCAAGAGUCCAUAUCGACGGGAUGGUUUGGCACCUCGAUGUCGGCUCGUCGCAUCCUGGGGCUGGAGUCGGUCCCAAGGGUUGGGCUGUUCGCCCAUUAAAGCGGUACGCGAGCUGGGUUUAGAACGUCGUGAGACAGUUCGGUCCCUAUCCGCUGUGCGCGUAGGAAUAUUGAGAAGGGCUGUCCCUAGUACGAGAGGACCGGGACGGACGAACCUCUGGUGUGCCAGUUGUCCUGCCAAGGGCAUGGCUGGUUGGCUACGUUCGGAAAGGAUAACCGCUGAAAGCAUCUAAGCGGGAAGCCUGCUUCGAGAUGAGUAUUCCCACCCUCUUGAAGGGUUAAGGCUCCCAGUAGACGACUGGGUUGAUAGGCCAGAUGUGGAAGCCCUGUAAGGGGUGGAGCUGACUGGUACUAAUAGGCCGAGGGCUUGUCCUCAGUUG
rnacentral:rRNA from 1 species